rnacentral:rRNA from 1 species
UCCAGACUCCUACGGGAGGCAGCAGUGGGGGAUAUUGCACAAUGGGGGAAACCCUGAUGCAGCGACGCCGCGUGUGGGAAGACGGUCCUCUGGAUUGUAAACCACUGUCCCCAGGGACGAAGAUGACGGUACCUGGGGAGGAAGCUCCGGCUAACUACGUGCCAGCAGCCGCGGUAAUACGUAGGUGGCAAGCGUUGUCCGGAAUUACUGGGUGUAAAGGGAGCGUAGGCGGGAAAGCAAGUUGAAUGUUUAAGGUACGGGCUCAACCUGUACAAGCGUUCAAAACUGUUUUUCUUGAGUGGAGUAGAGGUAAGCGGAAUUCCUAGUGUAGCGGUGAAAUGCGUAAAUAUUAGGAGGAACACCAGUGGCGAAGGCGGCUUACUGGGCUUUAACUGACGCUGAGGCUCGAAAGCGUGGGUAGCAAACAGGAUUAGAUACCCUUGUA